GUCAAGUGUAGAGUACUUCCUUGUUCUUAGUUCCAUAAAUAUCGAACAAAAGAAAGCUAAUACUGAAUCACUACUGAUCCAAAGCAAAAAAAUAAUCGGAAACCCUCGUGAUUUCUGCUUUGCUAUUUCCUCGACCGUCUUGAUAUCAUUAAUAAGAAAACCGAAAAUGGGGUUGUUCCUCCUCCAAGUACUUCGUCUGUUUUGCUUGAUCCUCCUCUUAUCUCAAGUAUUUUGUGGCAGGAUGACUCUGGCUCGAAGAUCAUUAUCAGAGGAGGUUCGUGAGGGUUACUUUCCGGGACCUCAUCAGGGUCGCCCUCAUGAUAAACCUAUAAUAAAAUCAUCUGAUUCAUCUCCUAGAUCGAGACGAUAUCAUGAAGGGUACCGUGGAGGACCUGGAUCACAACGUCCAUGAUGAACUAAAAGAGAGAAAAAAAAAUCGAGAUCAGAAGGACAAAUUAAAGAGAACAUAUUUUCCUUUCAUCGUCUUGUUUUUUUGUUUAUUUGUUUUUGCUUUUGUGUGUGUGUGCGUGUGUGUGUAAUUCCUCCCCUUCUACAAAUCUUUAUAACCGAACUACAUCUUCUGUGGUGAAACCGUUUUCUCCAUCACAGGACAUAUAUAUGUUUGCUUCAAGCUUAA